GACGAACGCUGGCGGUGUGCUUAACACAUGCAAGUCGAACGGUAAGGCCCUUUCGGGGGUACCCGAGUGGCGAACGGGUGAGUAACACGUGAGUAACCUGCCCUCAUCUCUGGGAUAACAGUCGGAAACGGUUGCUAAUACUGGAUAUGAGCUUGCAAGGCAUCUUGUGGGUUGGAAAGAUUUUUUUUGGUUGGGGAUGGACUCGCGGCCUAUCAGCUUGUUGGUGAGGUAGUGGCUCACCAAGGCUUCGACGGGUAGCCGGCCUGAGAGGGCGACCGGCCACAUUGGGACUGAGAUACGGCCCAAACUCCUACGGGAGGCAGCAGUGGGGAAUAUUGCACAAUGGACGGAAGUCUGAUGCAGCAACGCCGCGUGCGGGAUGACGGCCUUCGGGUUGUAAACCGCUGUCAAUUGUGACGAAGCUUUUUUGUGACGGUAGCAGUAGAAGAAGCACCGGCUAACUACGUG
rnacentral:rRNA from 1 species